rnacentral:rRNA from 1 species
UUAUCGGAGAGUUUGAUCCUGGCUCAGGACGAACGCUGGCCGUGCCUAAUACAUGCAAGUCGAGCGGACAGAUGGGAGCUUGCUCCCUGAUGUUAGCGGCUG